rnacentral:lncRNA from 1 species
CCUUAACAAAUAUUUAAAAGAACAUUUAAUUUUAGAAAAAAACAUAUUUUAUAAAAAUAAAUACUCAGUAGGGCAAAUAGCUGAUGAAUCUCCUGGACUCCUUUAUUGUCAUAAAAACAAAAAAUGCUUUUACAAGUCUUUAAUAAUUUUGAAACAAGAUAUCGAAUUAUUUCUUCAUGUAAAAGAUGCUAUAUUCACUAUAAAUAAAAUAUCAGUAGAAGGAAAAAUUAAACAUUGCAUUGUAUAAAGCAUUGAUUGCAGUUAAUUCAACUAUAAUCAUGGACAAAGGAAGAUAACAACAAAAUUCAAAAUUGUUCUGUAUAUUGUGAAAGAAGCAUUGUGUAUAAGUUUUAUCACAAAUAAUUUAGGCAAACUAAAGUAAGAGAACGUAUGGUCAGAUAGGAAUAAAACUUAAUGGCCCUCCGCUACGGCGGGUGCUUAAAUGAGUGAAUGGCAAUUUGUGUAUAUUAUUUAAUUAGGAUAUAAUUACUAAAUAAACUCAUUAUAGAUACCAGGACUAAAUUUUGUAUAUACGCCAGAC